rnacentral:lncRNA from 1 species
UGUCAUACAUAUAUUGGUUUAGCAUAAUAAUAUUGUGCUGUAUUCUCCUUUUGUUUCACUGACAAUUAUAAAUCUAUUAUUCCAUGUCAUUAAAUAUUACAAGUUCACCUUUAAUUUUAGUGUGGUAUUUUAUAAUAGCCUUAGUCUAUAAUGCAUUUAGUCUUAUAGAGAAGUAUAUAGAAACUGGUUUUGUUUUUCUUUUUGUAUAUGAUGCUGCACAAAACAUUAUUGUAUCAUCUUUUUUUGUUUUUUUCUCGUUUAUCUCAUUUUGCCUACAGAAUUUGGAUGUAAUCAAAUUUAUCUACAUAUCCGUUUACUGUUUUAUGACAUGGUUAGAAAGACUUUUCUCGGAUUCAGCUUAUAAACACUUUAACCAUUUAUUUUCUGAGAGAAGGAAGGACAAUUUGAAGCAGAGUAUCUCCAAAAUCAGACACCAGAGCAGAUGGAAGACAAAAGCUCUGUACAAAGAAACCAGGAGGUACAGUGAGACUGUAUGUACAAAGCAUUUAUCUUGGUCUUCACAAGCACAGUCAUGUGUAACCUCUUCUACGACUUACUCUGAAGUAGUAUAUUGUUAAGUCAUUCUCUGGAGAAACUCAAAAGAAUGCUACAAAAAUUAAUAUUGAAGAGAAAUGUGUGACAGUCAAUCAACUGUUACUGGUUUGUGAGAAGUAAUUGUCUAAUUUUUAGACAUUUUGAGAACAAUUUGAAGUGGAGUUGAUAGCUUGACGUUCGCCACGGUGGGCAUAGUUACAUCAUAGAAACAGCACAUGCUGCAAGUCAGAGCUUCUUCACCCUGGAGAGCACUUGUUACUGAUUUUCAUUGAUGUUUAUCAUAGGCAACAUAUUGUUUUGAAAUAUGUAUAUAUUGUGCAAUGGCUAAAUUGGGCUAAUUGACAAAUGCAUAUCUCACUUGUCUUUUUUUUUGGUGAGACCAUUUAAAUUAUAUUUUCUCAGCAUGUUCAAGAGUAUACUAUAUCACCAUUAACCAUAGUAACCAUGCUAUACAAUAUAUCUUUUUACUUUAUUUCUAUUUUCCAACUAAUUUUUUUUAUCCUCUGAUCAACAUCUCUUCAACACCUUAAUAACCAUUAACCAGCUCCCUACCUAGUUAGCAUAUCAUGAAACUAAUUAUCUAAUAAGCCACGCACUUUCACAUAAAUUGUUGUGCCUCAAUCUUAAAUAUGAAUGGGUGUUCAAGAAUUUCCAGUAACCUGGGGAAAAUCUAUAAUAUAAAAACAAACUCCAAGAAAUAAACAAAGAAACUCAAAGGAAAUAGAAGAUGAA